GCAGCAGUGGGGAAUAUUGGACAAUGGGCGCAAGCCUGAUCCAGCAAUGCCGCGUGAGUGAUGAAGGCCUUCGGGUUGUAAAGCUCUUUCGCACGCGACGAUGAUGACGGUAGCGUGAGAAGAAGCCCCGGCUAACUUCGUGCCAGCAGCCGCGGUAAUACGAAGGGGGCUAGCGUUGUUCGGAAUUACUGGGCGUAAAGGGCGCGUAGGCGGUACUUCAAGUCAGGCGUGAAAGCCCCGGGCUCAACCUGGGAACCGCGCUUGAGACUGGAGAACUAGAGUUCGGGAGAGGAUGGUGGAAUUCCCAGUGUAGAGGUGAAAUUCGUAGAUAUUGGGAAGAACACCGAUGGCGAAGGCAGCCAUCUGGACCGACACUGACGCUGAGGCGCGAAAGCGUGGGGAGCAAACAGGAUUAGAUAC
rnacentral:rRNA from 1 species